CCCGCGACGCGCGCGCGCGGAAGUAGUCGCUGCGCGCCGCCAGCACCGCCUUGUGCGCCCGCAGCCGGCGGCCGGACACCUCGAUGACCAGUCUUUUCCAGUUGAUUCAAAUUAAGUGGCAAAAGAUACUUGGAGGAAGGACCUGCUCUGGAGCUGGCCUCAGAGGCCUAACUCCGAAAUCGGUCUGCACUGCUCAUUCUUGGAAUCGUGUCUUUAAAACCUCAGGGAAGCAAUUCCCCACAAACAGUCCAUGCACAGCAAAACAAAAGCCAAAGCAACAACAACAA